rnacentral:rRNA from 1 species
AGAGUUUGAUCCUGGCUCAGAUUGAACGCUGGCGGCAGGCCUAACACAUGCAAGUCGAGCGGUAGCACAGAGAGCUUGCUCUCGGGUGACGAGCGGCGGACGGGUGAGUAAUGUCUGGGAAACUGCCUGAUGGAGGGGGAUAACUACUGGAAACGGUAGCUAAUACCGCAUAACGUCGCAAGACCAAAGUGGGGGACCUUCGGGCCUCAUGCCAUCAGAUGUGCCCAGAUGGGAUUAGCUAGUAGGUGGGGUAACGGCUCACCUAGGCGACGAUCCCUAGCUGGUCUGAGAGGAUGACCAGCCACACUGGAACUGAGACACGGUCCAGACUCCUACGGGAGGCAGCAGUGGGGAAUAUUGCACAAUGGGCGCAAGCCUGAUGCAGCCAUGCCGCGUGUGUGAAGAAGGCCUUCGGGUUGUAAAGCACUUUCAGCGGGGAGGAAGGCGGUGAGGUUAAUAACCUCAUCGAUUGACGUUACCCGCAGAAGAAGCACCGGCUAACUCCGUGCCAGCAGCCGCGGUAAUACGGAGGGUGCAAGCGUUAAUCGGAAUUACUGGGCGUAAAGCGCACGCAGGCGGUCUGUCAAGUCGGAUGUGAAAUCCCCGGGCUCAACCUGGGAACUGCAUUCGAAACUGGCAGGCUAGAGUCUUGUAGAGGGGGGGUAGAAUUCCAGGUGUAGCGGUGAAAUGCGUAGAGAUCUGGAGGAAUACCGGUGGCGAAGGCGGCCCCCUGGACAAAGACUGACGCUCAGGUGCGAAAGCGUGGGGAGCAAACAGGAUUAGAUACCCUGGUAGUCCACGCCGUAAACGAUGUCGAUUUGGAGGUUGUGCCCUUGAGGCGUGGCUUCCGGAGCUAACGCGUUAAAUCGACCGCCUGGGGAGUACGGCCGCAAGGUUAAAACUCAAAUGAAUUGACGGGGGCCCGCACAAGCGGUGGAGCAUGUGGUUUAAUUCGAUGCAACGCGAAGAACCUUACCUGGUCUUGACAUCCACAGAACUUUCCAGAGAUGGAUUGGUGCCUUCGGGAACUGUGAGACAGGUGCUGCAUGGCUGUCGUCAGCUCGUGUUGUGAAAUGUUGGGUUAAGUCCCGCAACGAGCGCAACCCUUAUCCUUUGUUGCCAGCGGUUAGGCCGGGAACUCAAAGGAGACUGCCAGUGAUAAACUGGAGGAAGGUGGGGAUGACGUCAAGUCAUCAUGGCCCUUACGACCAGGGCUACACACGUGCUACAAUGGCAUAUACAAAGAGAAGCGACCUCGCGAGAGCAAGCGGACCUCAUAAAGUAUGUCGUAGUCCGGAUUGGAGUCUGCAACUCGACUCCAUGAAGUCGGAAUCGCUAGUAAUCGUAGAUCAGAAUGCUACGGUGAAUACGUUCCCGGGCCUUGUACACACCGCCCGUCACACCAUGGGAGUGGGUUGCAAAAGAAGUAGGUAGCUUAACCUUCGGGAGGGCGCUUACCACUUUGUGAUUCAUGACUGGGGUGAAGUCGUAACAAGGUAACCGUA